rnacentral:lncRNA from 1 species
GGUGAUGAAAUAAUUGAAUUUCUGGGUUAUUAUUUUUUAUUUUAAAAUUUGCACUUUUAUGAUUAAACCUAAAUCAUAAUCUAAAGAUUCUGCAUCCUGGAAAGAUGCUCCACAAAUGAUGAUUGUUUUACAAGUGGGUAUUUGUUAGAAUUAAAUGGUUGCUUUUUCAAGUUUUUGCUGUCUUAGUCACGGUUGUUCUAAAGAUUGUCAUCAAGAUGUUUGAGAAAAUGUCAAAAUGACUCAUUGCCAAAAAAAUUUUUUUUUGGGGUCUUCUCGAUUAUUGGGGCUGUCUUGUCUGAUCUUUUUAUGUGGUUUCUCUGAUCUUACAAACAAUCUAAUGAGAAAGCUCCAAUAAUUUCAUAGAAAAAUUAUUAGAUGGGCAGAAAGAAAAAUGCUGAAGAAUGUAUUACUCCUUUCUCCACAUGCUUUAUUCUAGUUCUGGGGAAGCUUUUGCUUUGCAUGGAAAAUAUUUCAAGGAAAUGUUUGAAAUGGCUCAGAAAUGAAGGGAGGCUGCAUUGACAAAAGCAUCCAAGUCCAAUGGGAUUCCAAGAAAGUUAGGUAACUCUUAUCCAUUUACAAAUGGGAAAUUUAUAUACAUCUCGGGUUAUUAGAAAGUAGAUGUAGAAGGUGCUUAUGGGAUGUAUAGAGUCUCAUUCAAAAAUCUCUGAUGCCACGUCCCUUUAUGUGAAAACUUAGCGGUACUCGAACUUAAUUUUGUCAAUUGCAGAUACAAAAUAUCAUGUUUAUUAUCACCAUUGUUAUAUACUCUGCCAUUACAUAAUUUAAUGGCAACCCCCUUAUCGCAAUAUAAUGAUGUUACUAGACACCACACAACUAACUCAGAGGUAAUUUCUGAACAGUAAAACAACUACAUUUUAUCAAGGAAAGCAGAAAGCUAUUGCAAGGCCACCAUGUGCUAUUGCAUUUCUACUUUGCAAAUUUACCUUUCUUUGCAUCAAUUAUUUCUUUCUUGACAGCUCCAAAUUUUUGGAGAUUUUGUAGACAACAAAAUAAUCACAAUAUACAUGAACCCAUGCUUAUUACUGCUUUUCUUUUAUUGUCUCCCAUCUCUCUCUCUCGUGCUCUUAACGUUACUGUGUUGUCAUUGUUUUGGCAUUAUUUAUGCAUGUGCUUGACUUUACUUUCCAUUUUGGGUAAUUUGUGUCAACGUCAGAAAAGACUUUGUUAUUUGACAAUAAAAAUUUUUACUAGUUUAUAUCACUACUGAUUUAAGUGAUUUUUAAAUUAAUAGUUACAAUUUAAUGAUAUAUUACAAUAUGGAAUCUGUUAGGACUUUAGUCUCUAAAUACAUAUAUUUAUAAUACAACUUCAAAUCUAUGUAGAUUAGCUUUGAAAUAUACUUUAACUAACAAUAUUGUGGAGAAGUUUAACCAUAUAUCACAUUCUUGCAGUAAGGGAAAAGAGUCCGAUAUAUGGGGUCCAAACUAUGACCUCAAUUUUAAGGCAGGCAACAAAAAACUACUGAAAAUUUGAAAAUAGUAAGGUUAGGGAUUCGAAUCCCAAUUAACGUGACAUUCAUUUAUUGGAUAGUAGAAUAUUAAUUUUACCAAUUAUGAAAUUCACUAUCCACUAAAUGACACAUAACAGUUAGAAAUCAACUGUUGGGAUUUUUAACAUUAUUGAUUUGGGGAACUACUAAUACAUAUUAAAAACUCAAGGCCUUAAUUUUUUCCCUAAAAAAGGGGAUUAAUCUCGGUAAAAAAAUUCAUGAAUAAUAGGGAAAUGGGUAGAGUUAUUUGAACCCACCAAAUUACUCAAUUAAAUCCACGUUUGAAUAUAAUUUUUAAUUAUUAAAAAGCCCCUAAAAAAUUUUACAAUUUUGAAUAAUAAAAUGUAUAGAAUAAUAAAUCGAAAAGUAUUAGGUUGUAGGAGUUCAAAUUAUGUUCAUACGAAAAUGUCAAAUCAAAAGAUAUUUGUCUAGAUAAAGAAUACUGAACAAAAUAUAAAUUUGUAGUUUAUUGCAAUUGACAUUUUGAUUAUUAGUUUUCUUAUAUUCUCAAAAUUUGUUAUGCAAAAAAUAUCUGUGCUACAAAAUACAAUAUGAGUCCUAACUAAAGUCCCAAAAAAAAAGAAUAAAAAUUCAUGAUGAGUAACAUCAUUAUCGUGUGAUAGGCAUAUAUGGUAUAAUAGCGUUCAUGUACUUUAAUAAAAUGUGGUAGAGUGAUUAUCUGGUGAGGGUUCUUUCACUUUAUUAAAGUGGAGGAAUGCUAUUACAUCAUACGAUGUACCAAUAUAAUGCCUAUUACAUUGUUGAAAAGUCAGCAACCGCCAGCCAAAGCCAACUUUGCAACAGUUAGCAUGCAAACUUUGGAGAAGCAAAAUCAAAUUGAAUUUGUAAGCCGAAAAGAAAGAAUGGAAAAAGGGGAUGGAUUUGAAAAUAAUAAUAAUUAUUUAUUAUAUUUUCAAUUAUUUUAUUCUUUGCAUAGUAAUUCAUUUCUCCUAUAAAUAGCUAAGGAUUUCAUUCAUUUGAUAUCAUCCCAAAAUUGUUAAGCUUAUAAGUUUCUAAGCUUUUGAGAGAAGUGAGAGAAGUGUGUCUGGGGAAUUUCUCUUUCCUGCAAAGUGUGAGAGUACUGGGUAUAUUUGGGUUUCUAGGAAGUGAGAUUCGUUACUCAAAUAUUGUACUCUAUUAAUUGUUAAAUAAACAAUUAUUCUUUCUUGCCGUCGUGGAUGUAGGUUUAAUUACCGAACCACGUAAAUUCUUGUGUCCUUUAUUUUUCAGUAAUUAUUUGGUGCGCUUGAUUCCGCAUUCCACGCACAACAAGUAAUUAUUUAGUGCGCUUGAUUCCGCAUUCCAUGUACAACAUGUGGUAUCAGAGCCGAUGGUUCGUACUUGGGGGGAUACGGUACUGUACAUGUAUACGGUAAUAUUCCCGUAUAUGGUACUGUUCACAUACGGUACUGUUUACGAAUACGGUGGAGACGGUCAUUUGAACUUAGGAGACAGUCUAUUGUAAGUAGCGUGUAUUUUUGCAUGUCUAGGAAAGUUCUGUCAAAAAAGGCGAUAAGAGUCUAAGGAUUCUGGUUUUUAAUUGGGACUGAGUUCCCGUCCAGUUUCCUGGGAACUUUUCUGGUGCAUUUAUUCACGCGAAAUUAACAUCAUAGAGACUGUUUUUCAAGUGGAAAUAGUUCGUUGAGAAAAUGGUAGAAGGUGAAACUUCCAGAAUUAGGGAGAGAUUUACCGAGACUAUUUCAAGAGACACUUCAGGUGGGAGGCGAGAUUUGUCAAAUCGCUAUUCAGCACCUGUUAUAGAAGGCCAGAAGAUCGAUGUUGAAAAGUUUGAUGGGAAAAUCAACUUCGGCAUGUGGAGGCGCGAAGUUAUGGAUGCCCUUAUUCAAAUCGAUCUCGAUGUUGUUCUGAAAAAUAAAAGACACUUGUGUGAUGAAGAAAUUUGGGAUCGUAUGAACGAAAAAGCUUGUGGUCGGAUCAGAUCUUGUUUGACCAAGGAGGUGAAAUACUUGGUGAAAGAUGAGGAGUGUGCGGUGACUUUGUGGCGUACAUUGGAGGAGAAGUACCUGGAGUCCUGAAAAUCGCCUUCAUGCGAUGAGCCAAGUAUAUGGUUUUCGAAUGAAGCCUGAGGUGUCAAUGCAUGAUCAUGUUUCAAGAUUUGAAAAGUUACUUGCUGAUUUGAAAAAUCUUGAUGAAGAUAUUAAGGAUGAAGUCAAGGCUAUGAUUCUGUUACACUCACUACCAGAGGAAUAUAGCUAUUUUGUGACUACUUUGAUAUAUGGGAAGAGUGUGAUCGUCUUUAAAAAUGUUUGCACAACAUUGACUAGCUUGGAGAUUCGAAAUAAUGAUAAAAAUACUGAACGAGUAUCAUCUGAAGCUUUGGUGAGCAAAGAUUGGGCGAUGGAGAAACAGAAAAAGCGUGGUGGAAAGAAUUCUCGAUCCAAAUCGAGAGGCAGAAAUAUAGCUCGAGAUGAGUGUGCCUUUUGUCAUGAAAAUGGCCAUUGGAGGAAAGAUUGUCCAAAAGCUCAAAAGAGAGAUGGGAAGAAACCAGCAGCAGCAAACAUGGCACGGAAAGAUGAGAGCUCUGAUUAUUCACUAAGUAUUACUCCUGCAGCAUAUGUGGCUAGUUCGAGCGAGUGGAUACUUGAUACUGGAGCAACCUAUCAUUUGUGUCUUAUUAAGGAAUGGUUUACAGAUUUUCAUAAUCUGGAAUCCGGUGCAGUUGUGAUGGGGAAUAAUCAACCUUGUCACACAAUGGGGAUAAGAACAAUUCGGCUCAAAAUAUUUGAUGGAAUGGUCAAAGAACUCAAAAAUGUUAGAUUUGUUCCAGAGAUAAAGAAAAAUAUAAUUUCUGUGGGUGUUUUGGAAGCUAAAGGUUACAAAGUUACCAUUAAAGAUGGCACAAUGAAGUUUACACAUGGGGCUAUGGUGAUUCUGCAAGGGGUUCGGCGUCACAAUCUGUACUAUUUGAAGGGAGGUACAACUGAUGAAGCAAAUGUUGUUGAGGCGCACAGUGACACCACCAAGCUAUGGCAUGUACGACUGGGACAUGCUGGAGAGAAGUCUUUGCAAACUCUGAUGAGACAUGGACUCUUAAAAGGUAUCAAAACCUGUAAAUUAAAUUUCUGUGAGCAUUGUAUAGUAGGCAAGAAAACAAGGGUCAAGUUUGGUACAGCAAAUCACGAUACUCGUGAGAUCCUUGAAUAUGUUCAUAAUGAUGUAUGGGGACCAACCAAGACUGCAUCAAUUGGUAGAAGCCAUUAUUUUGUUAUAUUUAUUGAUGAUUUCUCUAGACGUGUAUGGGUAUACACCAUGCAAGUAAAGGAUGAGGUUCUAGAGAUUUCGUGAAAUGAAAGAAAUUGGUAGAGACUCAAAAUGGCAGAAAGAUCAAAGUAUUACGAUCUGAUAAUGGGGGUGAAUAUGCUUCUGAUCCAUUCUUGCAAGUGUGCCAGAACGAGGGUAUUAAAAGACAUUUAACGGUGAGACAUACUCCGCAACAGAACGGUGUGGCUGAGCGUACGAAUCGUACUUCACUGGAAUUUUACAUGCAUUUUUGAAUUUGAAUGUCACGUGCAUGACUUUUCAACAAUUCUCCACCUCGGCGAAAAUUUGUCUAAAUUUGAGCCGACUACCAACGAACCCUCAUUCCCCCAAAGUGAUCCUUCAAUAAGGAUCCAAAAUGGUUGUGUCGAUUUAACUGCCUACGUACCCAAAAUUUGGGAUCAAGCCAACCAUAGUUCAUAAUUCCCGAAGGACAUAUCUUAACACAAUCGAAGGAUUUGAAUUAAUUUCAAGUAAUGUUGAAAUUUAACUCCAGAAACUACCUUCGUCAACAUAUCUGAUGGAUUAUCUUUGGUAUCGAUCUUCUUCAACAACACUUCACCGCUCUCGAUAAUCUCCCUCACAUAAUGAUAUUUCACAUCUAUGUGCUUCGUCCGAGCGUGAUAUGUUUGAUUCUUCGCAAGGAAUAUCGCACUUUGAUUAUCACAGAAGACCGCAAUGUUCUCCUGGAUUACUCCCAAAUCACCUAACAAGUCUUUCAACCAGAUAGCUUCCUUUACAGUUUCAGUUGCUGCCACGUACUCUGCUUCCGUAGUGGACAGAGCAAUUGUCGAUUGUAGAAUCGACCUCCAACUAACCGGACCUCCACCCAAUGUGAAUACGUAGCCCGUUGUUGAUCUUCGCUUGUCAAGGUCUCCAGCGAAAUCAGAAUCACAAUACCCAACACAUUAUUGACCAAUAUCCUUCUUGAACAAUAACCCAACAUCAACUGUCCUAUACAGAUAUCGAAGAAUUCAUUUUACCACAAGCCAUUGACUUUUACCCGGAUUGUGCAUGUAUCUACUAACCAUGCUCACUGCUUGAGAUAUAUCGGGCCUUGUGCAUACCAUAGCAUACAUAAGACUACCCACAGCACUAGCAUAUGGAACACGAUCCAUGUAAUCGCGCUCCUCUUGAGAUUUAGGACAUGAAGAAGAGCUUAAUUUGAAAUGAGGUGCUAGAGAUGUACAUACCGGUUUAGUUUUGUCAUCCAUACCGAAUCGUUCUAGCACUCUCUUCAAAUAAGACUUUUGAGUCAACCAUACGCUCCCAUUCUUCUUGUCUCUACGAAUCUCCAUCCCAAGUAUUCUCUGUGCAUCACCCAAGUCUUUCAUCUCGAACUCAGAAGCCAAUUGCUUCUUUAAUCUUUCGAUCUCAUCUCUAUUCUUCGAAGGUAUAAGCAUAUCGUCGACAUAGAGUAACAAAUAGAUGAAAGCUCCAUCUGGUAGUCUUUUAAAGUAAACACAAUGAUCGUGUUCACUUCUCCAAAUCUCCAUGUAAGAACGUCGUCUUAACAUUCAAUUGAGUCAACUCUAACUCAUAUUCUGCAACUAAGGCAAGUAGGAUACGAAUGGAAGUAUGUUUUACAACUGGAGAGAAAACUUCAUUGUAGUCAAUACCUUCCUUUUGAGUAAAACCUUUUGCCACGAGUCUUGCCUUGUAUCGAGGAGUUUUUUUAUUUGGAGAUCCUUACUUUUUGGUGUAGACCCAUUUAUUGCCAAUAGCCCUUUUCUCCUUUGGUAACUUUACAAGUUCCCAAGUCUGGUUUUGAUGGAGAGACUUCAUCUCUUCCUCUAUGGCUAACGUCCACUGAUCACUUUCACUGCUGCGUAAUGCUUCACCGAAAGUGUUGGGGAUGUCAUCAUCAAUAACUGGAAGUGCAUAGGCUACCACCAUAUCUUUAGUAAGCCAUUCGGGUUUCUUUAUGUCUCUUCUUGGCCUCCUUGUUGCUAUAAAAUCAUCAUUAUCUACAUCAUCAAUUGUUUCUUCAUUUUGUGGGAUAUUAGGAAAAGCAACAUCUUCUUCAACUCUAGGUGUCACCUCUAUAGUUGAACUAUUCUUUGAUGUAGAACUAACUGGUACAUAUGGAGUUGCAUCAAACUCCACCCGCUGUAAUACCUCUUUGGUCUUGUUCUCCACCUGCUAAGAACUUGAAGCUUUCAUCAUUGAAGCUUCAUCAAAUGUGACAUCUCUGCUACACACAAACUUUUUGUCUUCGAGAUCCCAAAGCUUGAAGCCCUUUACUCCACCUUUGAAUCCCACAAAGAUAGUUUUUCUAGCACAAGGAUCCAGUUUACCAUCUUUGACAUGAUAAUAAGCUAGACACCCGAAUACACGAAGGGAAUCAUAGUCUUGUGCAUACUUUACAGACCACAUUUCCAUAGGAGUUUUACCUCCAAUUGCAAUAGAAGGCAACCGGUUUACCAAGUGACUUGCGUAACUCACAGCUUCAGCCCAAAAUUUUUUAUCUAAACCAGCAUUAGAUAACAUACACCGUACCUUCUCCAGUAAAGUACGAUUCAUACGCUCAGCCACACCGUUCUGUUGCGGAAUAUGUCUCACCGUGAAAUGUCUUUUAAUACCCUCGUUCUAGCAUACUUGCAAGAAUGGAUCAGAAGUAUAUUCACCCCCAUUAUCAGAUCGUAAUACUUUGAUCUUUCUGCCAGUUUGAGUUUCCACCAAUUUCUUCCAUUUCACGAAAAUCUCUAGAACCUCAUCCUUUGCUCGCAUGGUGUACACCCACACACGUCUAGAGAAAUCAUCAACAAAUGUAACAAAAUAAUGCCUUUCACCAAUUGAUGCAGUCUUGGCUGGUCCCCAUACAUCACUAUGAACAUAUUCAAGGAUCUCACGAGUAUCGUGAUUAGCUGUACCAAACUUGACCCUUGUUUUCUUGCCUACUACACAAUGCUCACAGAAAUUUAAUUUACAGGUUUUGGUACUUUUUAAGAGUCCAUGCCUCAUCGGAGUUUGCAAAGACUUUUCUCCAGCAUGUCCUAGUCGUACAUGUCAUAGCUUGGUGGUGUCACUGUGCGCCUCAAUAACAUUUGCUUCAUCAGUUGUACUUCCCUUCAAAUAGUACAGAUUAUGACGCCGAACCCCUUGUAGAAUCACCAUAGCCCCAUGUGUAAACUUCAUUAUACUAUCUUCAAUAGUAACCUUGUAGCCAUUAACUUCUAAAGCACCCACAAAAAUUAGAUUUUUCUUUAAUGUUGGAAUAAAUCUAACCUCUUUGAGUUCUCUGACCAUUCCUUCAAACAUUUUGAACCGAAUUGUUCCUAUCCCCAUUGUGCGACAAAGUUGAUAAUUCCCCAUCACAACUGCACCAGAUUCCAAUACGUUGAAAUCCGUAAACCAUUCCUUAAUGGGACACAAAUGAUAGGUUGCUCUAGUAUCAAGUAUCCACUCGCUCGAACUAGCCACAUAUGCUGCAGGAGUAAUACUUAGUGAAUAAUCAGAGUCUUCAUCUUUCCGUGCCAUGUUUGCUACUGCUGGUUUCUUCCCAUCUCUCUUUUGAGCCUUUGGACAAUCUUUCCUCCAAUGGUCAUUUUCAUGACAAAAGGCACACUCGUCUCGAGCUAUAUUUAUGCUUCUCGAUUUGGAUCGAGAAUUCUUUCCACCACGCUUCUUCUGUUUCUCCAUCACCCAAUCUCUGCUCACCAAAGCUUCAGACGAUACUCGUUCAGAAUUUUUAUCAUUAUUCUGAAUCUCUAAACUAGUCAAUGAUGUGCAAACAUCUUUAAAGACGAUCACACUCUUCCCAUAUAUCAAAGUAGUCAUAAAAUGACUAUAUUCCUCUGGUAGUGAGUGUAACAGAAUCAUAGCCUUGACUUCAUCCUUAAUAUUUUCAUCAAGAUUUUUCAAAUCAGCAAGUAACUUUUCAAAUCUUGAAACAUGAUCCUGCAUUGACACCCCAGGCUGCAUUCGAAAACCAUAUACUUGGCUCAUUGCAUGAAGGCAAUUUUCAGGACUUUUCACCAGGUACUUCUCCUCCAAUGUACGCCACAAAGUCACCGCACACUCCUCAUCUUUCACCAAGUAUUUCACCUCCUUGGUCAAACAAGAUCUGAUCUGACCACACGCUUUCUCGUUCAUACGAUCCCAAAUUUCUUCAUCAUACAAGUGUCUUUUAUUUUUCAGAACAACAUCGAGAUCGAUUUGAAUAAGGGCAUCCAUAACUUCGCGCCUCCACAUGCCGAAGUUGAUUUUCCCAUCAAACUUUUCAACAUCGAUCUUCUGGUCUCCUAUAACAGGUGCUGAAUAGUGAUUUGACAAAUCUCGCCUCCCACCUGAAGUGUCUCUUGAAAUAGUCUCGAUAGAUCUCUCACCAAUUCUGGAAGUUUCACCUUCUACCAUUUUUUCAACGAACUAUUUCCACUUGAAAAACAGUCUCUAUGAUGUUAAUUUCGUGUGAAUAAAUGCACUAGGAAAGUUCCCAGGAAACUGGACGGGAACUCAGUCCCAAUUAAAAACCUGAAUCCUUACACUCUUAUCGCCUUUGUUGACAGAACUUUCCUAUACAUGCAAAAAUACACACUACUUACAAUAGACUGUCUCCCAAGUACAAAUGGCCGUCUCCACCGUAUUCGUAAACAGUACCGUAUGUGAAUAGUACCAUAUACGGGAAUAGUACCGUAUACGUGAACAGUACAAUUAUCCCCCAAGUACGAACCGUCAGCUCUGAUACCACUUAUUGUGCGCGGAAUGCGGAAUCAAGCGCACUAAAUAAUUACAGAAAAAUAAAGGACACAAGAAUUUACGUGGUUCGGUAAUUAAACCUACAUCCACGGAGGCAAGAAAUAAUAAUUGUUUAUUUAACAAUUAAUAGAGUACAAUAUUUGAGUAACGAAUCUCACUUCCCAGAAACCUAAAUAUACCCAGUACUCUCACACUCUGCAGGAAAGAUAAAUUUCCCAGACACAUUUCUCUCACUUAUCUCAAAAGCUCAUAAACUUAUAAGCUUAACAAUUUUGGGAUGAUUUCAAAUGAAUGAAAUCCUUAGCUAUUUAUAGGAGAAAUGAAUUACUAUGCAAAGAAUAAAAUAAUUGAAAAUAUAAUAAAUUAUUAUUAUUAUUUUCAAAUCCAUCCCCUUUUUCCAUUCUUUCUUUUUUGCUUACAAAUUCAAUUUGAUUUUGCUUCUCCAGAGUUUGCAUGCUAACUGUUGCAAAGUUGGCUUUGGCUAGCGGCUGCUGACUUUUCAACAAUUCUCCACCUCGGCGAAGAUUUAUUCAAAUCUGAGCCGAUUGACAAUGAUCCUCCAAACUUCAUCCCUCAAAAUUAUCCACAUUGGCUGCAUCUAUCCGACUGCCUACGUACCCAAAGGUUGGGAUCAAGCCUGCCGUAGUUCCAAUUCCCGAAGGACAUAUCUUAAAACAAUCAAAGGAUUUGAAUUAGUUUCAAGCAAUGUUGAAACUUAACUCCAGAAACUACCUUCGUCAACAUAUCUGAUGGAUUAUCUUUGGUAUCGAUCUUCUUCAACAACACUUCACCGCUCUCAAUAAUCUCCCUCACAUAAUAAUAUUUCACAUCUAUGUGCUUCGUCCGAGCGUGAUAUGUUUGAUUCUUCGCAAGGAAUAUCGCACUUUGAUUAUCAUAGAAGACCGCAAUGUUCUCCUAGAUUACUCCUAAAUCACCUAACAAGCCUUUCAACCAGAUAGCUUCUUUUACAGCUUCAGUUGCUGCCACGUACUCUGCUUCCGUAGUGGACAGAGCAAUUGUCGAUUGUAGAAUCGACUUCCAACUAACCGGACCUCCACCCAAUGUGAAUAUGUAGCCCGUUGUUGAUCUUCGCUUGUCAAGGUCUCCAGCGAAAUCAGAAUCACAAUAUCCAACACAUUGUUGACCACAAUCCUUCUUGAACAAUAACCCAACAUCAACUGUCCCAUACAGAUAUCGAAGAAUCCGCUUUACUGCAAGCUAGUGACUUUUACCUGGAUCGUGCAUGUAUCUACUAACCAUGCUUACUGAUUGAAAUAUAUUGAGCCUUGUACAUACCAUAGCAUACAUAAGACUACCCACAACACUAGAAUAUGGAACACGAGCCAUACCAGAUGGAGCUUUCAUCUAUUUGUUACUCUAUGUCGUCGAUAUGCUUAUAGCUUCGAAGAAUAGAGAUGAGAUCGAAAGAUUAAAGAAGCAACUGGCUUCUGAGUUCGAGAUGAAAGACUUGGGUGAUGCACAGAGAAUACUUGGGAUGGAGAUUCGUAGAGAUAAGAAGAAUGAGAGCGUAUGGUUGACUCAAAAUUCUUAUUUGAAGAGAGUGCUAGAAUGAUUCGGUAUAGAUGACAAAACUAAACCAGUAUGUACAUCUCUAGCUCUUUAUUUCAAAUUAAGCUCUUCUUAAUGUCCUAAAUCUCAAGAGGAGCGCGAUUACAUGGCUCGUGUUCCAUAUGCUAGUGCUGUGGGUAGUCUUAUGUAUGCUAUGGUAUGCACAAGGCCCGAUAUAUCUCAAGCAGUGAGCAUGGUUAGUAGAUACAUGCACAAUCCGGGUAAAAAUCAGUGGCUUGCGGUAAAGUAGAUUCUUCAAUAUCUGUAUAGGACAGUUGAUGUUGGGUUAUUGUUCAAGAAGGAUUGUGGUCAAUAAUGUGUUGGGUAUUGUGAUUCUGAUUUCGCUGGAGACCUUGACAAGCGAAGAUCAACAACGGGCUACGUAUUCACAUUGGGUGGAGGUCCGGUUAGCUGGAGGUCGAUUCUAUAAUCGACAACUGCUCUGUCCACUACGGAAGCAGAGUACGUGGCAGCAACUGAAUCUGUAAAGGAAGCUAUCUGGCUGAAAGGCUUGUUAGGUGAUUUGGGAGUAAUCCAGGAGAACAUUGCGGUCUUCUGUGAUAAUCAAAGUGCGAUAUUCCUUGCAAAGAAUCAAACAUAUCACGCUCGGACGAAGCACAUAGAUGUGAAAUAUCAUUAUGUGAGGAAGAUUAUCGAGAGCAGUGAAGUGUUGUUGAAGAAGAUCGAUACCAAAGAUAAUCCAUCAGAUAUGUUGACGAAGGUAGUUUCUGGAGUUAAGUUUCAACAUUGCUUGAAACUAAUUCAAAUCCUUCGAUUGUUUUAAGAUAUGUCCUUCGGGAAUUGGAAUUACGGUAGGCUUGAUCCCAACCUUUGGGUACGUAGGCAGUCGGAUAGAUGCAGCCAAUGUGGAUCCUUUUGAGGAUCAUGUGAGGGAUGAAGUUUGGAGGAUCAUUGUCAAUUGGCUCAGAUUUGAAUAAAUCUUCGCCGAUGUGGAGAAUUGUUGAAAAGUCAGCAGCCGCCAACCAAAGCCAACUUUGCAACAGUUAGCAUGAAAACUUUGGAGAAGCAAAAUCAAAUUGAAUUUGUAAGUCGAAAAGAAAGAAUGGAAAAAGGGGAUGGAUUUGAAAAUAAUAAUAAUUAUUUAUUAUAUUUUCAAUUAUUUUAUUCUUUGCAUAGUAAUUCAUUUCUCCUAUAAAUAGCUAAGGAUUUCAUUCAUUUGAUAUCAUCCUAAAAUUGUUAAGCUUAUAAGUUUCUAAGCUUUUGAGAGAAGUGAGAGAAGUGAGAGAAGUGUGUCUGGGGAAUUUCUCUUUCCUGCAGAGUGUGAGAGUACUGGGUAUAUUUGGGUUUCUGGGAAGUGAGAUUCGUUACUCAAAUAUUGUACUCUAUUAAUUGUUAAAUAAACAAUUAUUCUUUCUUGCCUCCGUGGAUGUAGGUUUAAUUACCGAACCACGUAAAUUCUUGUGUCCUUUAUUUUUCAGUAAUUAUUUGGUGCGCUUGAUUCCGCAUUCCGCGCACAACAUACACCACAUAGUGUAAUAACGUUCCCACAUUUUAAUAAAUUUUCGGAACCUGAUUAUGAUAUAUAUAUAUCUUCUCGAGUUUACAAACUUCAUUACUGCUUCAGCAUCAAAAGACUUGGAUAAAAAGUGAACAUGAAAAAUCAUUAAAUUUGAGGGCUAUUAACCAUAGCUUUUGCUGUCUCUACUCUCUAUAUAGAAGGCUAUUAUUGGAUCACAACACAUUAAUCAUAAAAGAGUCACUAAAAUUUGAGUUAUUGUCCUUUGUUUAUUUUACUUGACGGGUGGCUGCUGCCUCCUGUAAUCACAUUAUAAUCUAAUCUGUAGACCAGUGAGAUGCAGUUGCAAAUUCAUCAAAAGUCUCAGCUGAACAAAAAUUUUCAUCACUCUUUGUAAGAUUGAAACUGUUAUGAAAUUGACGAACUAAAACGGUGGCAUUUUUUCUUGUGUUUAAGUGCGCCUGUUACGUGAUUCACUUAAGUCAAGUCCUAGUCAAAUUUCUAUUAUGACAGUUAUUUUGGGCGCGUAUGGCUAAGCAGCGAAAAAAACAUAUCCUUCAUCAUUGCCCGUUGUUCUUCGGGUACAAAUCAAGCCGAGCAUUAAGCUGAGCCACAACAAAUCUUUAUUUAUAUAUAUUUUUAGUUACUUUACGAUAUACGGAACUUGAAUUGAAACUGAAAUAGUAAUGCUCCAAUCAGGGACGUAGCCAGAAAUUUAAUUGAUCUGGAGCACAUUAAAAAUGUAAUAUAAUUUUAAGAAUUUAUAUCACAACACAAAAAAUCACAAUAUAAUACAAUUUGAGAAUAAAUUUUGAAAAUUUAGAUAACAGUAAAUAGAAUCACAAGUGUAAUAUAAAUUAAUAAUAAACUAACUUAUUACAAUUGUUCUAAUCAAGAAUUCCUCGACAGGAUUUCAUGUGUUGAAAAUGCUGUAAAAUAGUUUCAUUAUCAAUGCAAUCAAAUCCAUCUUUUUCAAUGUACACAACUAGGUUAUCAACCAUUCAUCUCCCAUUCGACUUCGUAGUCAAUUCUUCACAUAAUUCAUUGUUGAAAAAACUCUUUCAACAGUGGCAGUGGCAACUGGUAGAAGUAAUGAUAAUGUGACUAAUAAAUAGACCAAUGAAAACACCUUGUGCUUGUUAGUCUCAACCAUUUUCUGUGCAAGAUCACCAAUCCCAUUUAAUUCUGAAAACUCAACACUAGACUGCAUAUCCAUUAUGUAAACAUCAAGUUGAGUAUCUAGUGCCAUGAGAUCAACUUGAGAAAAAUCUUUUGGAUAAAGUUGAGCAAGACGCAAUAACUUUUCUUUAUUGAAAGCUGCAAAUGAAUCUUUUGGUCAUAAACAAUCCAAGCAAAGAAGUAAUUCAGUGUUUACCUCAUUAAAACGACUGUUUAACUCUUGAAGUUGCAUAUCCAAAAUAGCACAAAAUAGGUCAAUGCGAUAAGGAUGCAUAUUUGUGAUCUCUUGCGCUCUACACCUUGAUUUUCGAGGAGUUAGAAACAUAUUUUCCAUGACAGGAACACUAAUAAAAUGCUUCUCACAAAAUGAAGAAACUUGACUAAGCAAAGAAUUCCAUCCAUGUUCCCUCAUCCUCUGUAGACCUAGUUUGCAAAUGCUAACUAAUUUCAUGGAAUUCACAAUAUAUUGAUCUUUCCUUUGUAAUGCUUGUGCCAAUUCAUUUGCAAAACCAAGAACAUUUUUCAUCAAGUAUAAAGUAAACACAAAAUCAAAUGUUUGCAUGAACUUCAAGGUUGAAUUUGCUUCAAAUCUUUGCUCAGAAUUUGAUGCAUCAUUUGCAAUAAUCUCAAGCACAUCAAUUAUGGAUGAGAACAUGGUAAUAAUGCUUAUUAAUGUACCGUAAUGUGAGCUCCACCGUGUGUAGCCAGAACGCUUUAAAGUAAUCUCUUUAUUCAUGCCUUGUCCGCUUUUAAGCUCGCCCGUUUUAAGUGCUUCAAUAACUGCAAUAGCAUGCUUCUCUUUAAGGAUUUCAUAUCGUUUAGACGAGGCUGCAACAAUGUUAAUAACUUUAGCAACUAAAUUGAACAGAUCAUUAACUUCUUGGUGCUUUUUUGCCACAGAAACAAGGGCCAACUGUAAUUGAUGGGCAAAACAAUGAAUGUAAUAAGCUGAUUCAUUCUCUUUUAGAAUGAGUGUUUUCAAACCAUUAAGUCCCCCUUGCAUGUUACUAGCACCAUCAUAUCCUUGCCCACGCAUACUAGACAUGCUUAAUCCAUGUCUAGCAAAUACUGUGUCGAGUGAUGCUUUGAGAGAGAUAGCUUUAGUAUCAAUAACAUGUUCAAUACCAAUAAAACGUUCAACCAUAUGUCCUCUUUUAUCCACAUAACGCAACACAAUUGCCAUUUGCUCUUUUUUGGAUAUGUCACGAGAUUUAUCAAUCAUAACAGAAAAUAAAGAGUCGCCAAUUUCUUUAAUGAUAGCUCUAGAAGUUUCAGCUGAACAAACACUUACAAUUUGUUUCUGAAUAUCAGGGGAUGUCAUUUGGAGAUUUGCUGGAGCACUGUUGAAAAUAACACCUUUAAUUUCCUCAUUGUGAUCAGCAAGAAAUUGUAAAAGCUCAAGAAAGUUUCCUCUAUUAUCUGAGCUUUGAGAUUCAUUAUU